GGAGGAAGUAGGGGAUCGCAAGACCUUGCGCUUUUGGAGCGGCCGAUGCCUGAUUAGCUUGUUGGUAAGGUAAAAGCUUACCAAGGCUUCGAUCAGUAGCUGGUCUGAGAGGACGGCCAGCCACACUGGGACUGAGACACGGCCCAGACUCCUACGGGAGGCAGCAGUGGGGAAUUUUGGACAAUGGGGGCAACCCUGAUCCAGCCAUGCCGCGUGAGUGAAGAAGGCCUUCGGGUUGUAAAGCUCUUUCAGCCGGAACGAAACGGUUACGGUUAAUACCCGUGACUAAUGACGGUACCGGAAGAAGAAGCACCGGCUAACUACGUGCCAGCAGCCGCGGUAAUACGUAGGGUGCGAGCGUUAAUCGGAAUUACUGGGCGUAAAGCGUGCGCAGGUGGUUUUGUAAGUCAGAUGUGAAAUCCCCGGGCUCAACCUGGGAACUGCGUUUGAAACUACAAAGCUAG
rnacentral:rRNA from 1 species